rnacentral:rRNA from 1 species
AUUGAACGCUGGCGGCAGGCCUAACACAUGCAAGUCGAACGGCAGCACGGGAGCAAUCCUGGUGGCGAGUGGCGAACGGGUGAGUAAUAUAUCGGAACGUGCCCAGUCGUGGGGAUAACGUAGCGAAAGCUACGCUAAUACCGCAUACGAUCUAUGGAUGAAAGCGGGGGAUCGCAAGACCUCGCGCGAUUGGAGCGGCCGAUAUCAGAUUAGGUAGUUGGUGAGGUAAAGGCUCACCAAGCCGACGAUCUGUAGCUGGUCUGAGAGGACGACCAGCCACACUGGGACUGAGACACGGCCCAGACUCCUACGGGAGGCAGCAGUGGGGAAUUUUGGACAAUGGGCGCAAGCCUGAUCCAGCAAUACCGCGUGCAGGAUGAAGGCCU